rnacentral:lncRNA from 1 species
UUUUUUCACACUCCUUCAAGAAAUAUUUGAUAAAAAUGCCUUAAGUAAAUCACAACAUAAAGGGGUUCUUACGUUAUUACAUAAGGGUGGUGAAAGAGAAAAUAUUAAAAAUUGGAGACCUCUUACAUUACUUAACACCGAUUAUAAAAUCAUAGCAAAACUUCUUGCAAUGAGACUGAAAAAAGUCUUACCGAAAAUAAUACAUCCAGAUCAAAAAGGAUUUGUUAAAGGAAGAAACAUUAGUG